rnacentral:rRNA from 1 species
CUACGGGUGGCAGCAGUAGGGAAUAUUGCUUAAUGGGCGAAAGCCUGAAGCAGCAACGCCGCGUGUACGAUGAAGGCCUUCGGGUUGUAAAGUACUUUUUGCAGGGAUGAGGAAGGACAGUACCUGCAGAAUAAGCCUCGGCUAACUACGUGCCAGCAGCCGCGGUAAAACGUAGGAGGCGAGCGUUAUCCGGAUUUACUGGGCGUAAAGCGCGUGUAGGCGGAUUGGUAAGUUAGCUGUGAAAGCUCCCGGCUUAACUGGGAGAGGUCGGUUAAUACUGUCAGUCUAGAGUAUGUGAGAGGGAAGUGGAAUUCCGGGUGUAGUGGUGAAAUGCGUAGAUAUCCGGAGGAACACCAGAGGCGAAAGCGGCUUCCUGGCACAUAACUGACGCUCAGACGCGAAAGCUAGGGGAGCGAACGGGAUUAGAUACCCUCGUAGUC